GCUGGGCCUGGUGGUGCACGCCUGUAAUCCCAGCUACUUGGGAAGCUGAGGUAGGAGAAUUGCUUGAACCCAGGAGGCGGGGGUUGCAGUGAGUUCAGAUUGCACCACUGCACUCCAGCCUGGGCGACAGAGCGAGACUCUGUCUCAA
ensembl:misc_RNA Metazoa_SRP Metazoan signal recognition particle RNA